AACCAUAGAAACCUGCGGAGUACCUGCGGAAGGAUCAUUACAGAGUUGCAAAACUCCCUAAACCAUUGUGAACGUUACCUAAACCGUUGCUUCGGCGGGCGGCCCGGGUCCUUCCCGGCGCCCCUCGGCCCUCGCGGGCGCCCGCCGGAGGUGAACCAAACUAUUGCAUUGUAUGGCCUCUCUGAGUCUUCUGUACUGAAUAAGUCAAAACUUUCAACAACGGAUCUCAGAUCGGAAGAG
rnacentral:misc_RNA from 1 species